AACGAACGCUGGCGGCAUGCCUAACACAUGCAAGUCGAACGAGACCUUCGGGUCUAGUGGCGCACGGGUGCGUAACGCGUGGGAACCUGCCCUUAGGUUCGGAAUAACUGCCCGAAAGGGGUGCUAAUACCGGAUAAUGUCUUCGGACCAAAGAUUUGUCGCCUUUGGAUGGGCCCGCGUUGGAUUAGCUAGUUGGUAGGGUAAAAGCCUACCAAGGCGACGAUCCAUAGCUGGUCUGAGAGGAUGAUCAGCCACACUGGGACUGAGACACGGCCCAGACUCCUACGGGAGGCAGCAGUGGGGAAUAUUGGACAAUGGGCGAAAGCCUGAUCCAGCAAUGCCGCGUGAGUGAUGAAGGCCUUAGGGUUGUAAAGCUCUUUUACCCGGGAUGAUAAUGACAGUACCGGGAGAAUAAGCUCCGGCUAACUCCGUG
rnacentral:rRNA from 1 species